rnacentral:rRNA from 1 species
GAUGAACGCUGGCGGCGUGCUUAACACAUGCAAGUCGAACGAAGCACUUUUAUUUGAUUUCUUCGGAAUGAAGAUUUUAGUGACUGAGUGGCGGACGGGUGAGUAACGCGUGGGUAACCUGCCUCAUACAGGGGGAUAACAGUUAGAAAUGACUGUUAAUACCGCAUAAGACCACAGCACCGCAUGGUGCAGGGGUAAAAACUCCGGUGGUAUGAGAUGGACCCGCGUCUGAUUAGGUAGUUGGUGGGGUAACGGCCUACCAGGCCGACGAUCGGUAGCCGACCUGAGAGGGUGACCGGCCACAUUGGGACUGAGACACGGCCCAAACUCCGACGGGAGGCAGCAGUGGGGAAUAUUGCACAAUGGGGGAAACCCUGAUGCAGCGACGCCGCGUGAGCGAUGAAGUAUUUCGGUAUGUAAAGCUCUAUCAGCAGGGAAGAAAAUGACGGUACCUGACUAAGGAGCACCGGCUAAAUACGUGCCAGCAGCCGCCGUAA